CCUACGGGUGGCAGCAGUGAGGAAUAUUGGUCAAUGGACGCAAGUCUGAACCAGCCAUGCCGCGUGCAGGAAGACGGCUCUAUGAGUUGUAAACUGCUUUUGUACGAGGGUAAACGCAGAUACGCGUAUCUUUCUGAAAGUAUCGUACGAAUAAGGAUCGGCUAACUCCGUGCCAGCAGCCGCGGUAAUACGGAGGAUUCAAGCGUUAUCCGGAUUUAUUGGGUUUAAAGGGUGCGUAGGCGGUAGGAUAAGUUAGAGGUGAAAUCCCGAGGCUCAACUUCGGAAUUGCCUCUGAUACUGGUCGGCUAGAGAGUAGUUGCGGUAGGCGGAAUGUAUGGUGUAGCGGUGAAAUGCUUAGAGAUCAUGCAGAACACCGAUUGCGAAGGCAGCCUACCAAGCUACUACUGACGUUGAGGCACGAAAGCGUGGGGAGCAAACAGGAUUAGAUACCCUUGUAGUC
rnacentral:rRNA from 1 species